rnacentral:rRNA from 1 species
CCGGGCCUUGUACACACCGCCCGUCACACCAUGGGAGUUGGGUUUACCCGAAGGCAGUGCGCUAACCGCAAGGAGGCAGCUGACCACGGUAGGCUCAGCGACUGGGGUGAAGUCGUAACAAGGUAGCCCUAGGGGAACCUGGGGCUGGAUCACCUCCUUUCUAAGGA